GAGAAGCUUCGACCAAGGUUCGACUCGAGCGCCAGCGAGAGAGCGUUGCCGCAGGCAACGACCCGAAGGGCGAAGCGCGCAGCGCUGAGUAAUCCUUCCCCCACCACCA
rnacentral:sRNA from 1 species